rnacentral:misc_RNA from 1 species
AACGCACCUUGCGCUCCUUGGUAUUCCGAGGAGCAUGCCUGUUUGAGUGUCAUUAAUAUAUCAACCUCUUCAGCUUUUUGCAUGUUGAGUGUUGGAUGUGGGGGUAUUUUUGCUGGACUCUAUACAAUCUGAGGUCAGCUCCCCUAAAAUGCAUUAGCGAAACAAUUUGUUUACCGCUCAUUGGUGUGAUAACUAUCUACGCUAUUGACGGUGAAGCAUGUUUAGCUUCUAACAGUCCAUUAACUUGGACAAUCUCUUAUUAAUGUGACCUCAAAUCAGGUAGGACUACCCGCUGAACUUAA